UGGAUCGCAUUGAACGUUUAUAAUCCGACAAUUGGCUAAUGUUUAAAAUCCGAUCCGAAAUUGUCUAAUCCGAUCCGAGUUUUGAUAAAGAAUUCCGAUCCGAAGAAUCCUUUAAUAAAAUAAAUUUCUCAUUCUAGUGGAAAUAUUUAGCCAAAUAAAUAUAAAAGCAAGAAAUACAUUUCAAGAAGCUGACAAUGUGACGUCCAAUUGAAUUACCAAACGAAUAAUGCAGCGACAACCGCGUUGUCGUGGAUAAUUAAUUCAUUUUAUUUCGAAUAUCAAAGUCCGAUCCGAUU